rnacentral:lncRNA from 1 species
GUCUUUAGCUGUAAAGAUGGCUGUUUUCCAUUUCCAUAUAAACGUUCUGGUGAUUUUGGAGCAAGCUGUGUCUGCUGCGACUGUGAGGAAAGAUGCGUACCCUUGAAAAGACACAGUGUCGAUUUAGAACUUUGUCCCAAUUUCGAGGCACCUCUCGGGAGAUGUGACAACAAUAAAAAUCGCUACUGCUGCCCAUCACGUGAUGAAACUCACGAGGCAUGCGACUGCUUUCAAAGAUGUCCCAAACUCUGGCAGGACAUUGGCUCUUGUGCUAAAUGCUGUGAAUUCUAAAUAAGAAACAGAUUAACCCAGUAGAAGCCUGGAUCAUUCAAAAUGUACGUCGUAAUAUGCUAUUUCCUGAACAUAUGGGCAAUAUUCUUUAACUUGUGGACUUUCUUAACACUCAUCAAUAUGGCUGUAUCAUGACGCCAUACACGCCAUACACGUCCGCUCAGUUGAGGCGAAAGCAUCACGGAGAAGGACGAAAAUGCCGAAAACUUAACAGAUAUACCAGGAAAUAUAGUGUGUGUGUUGAGUAUGCAAUAGGCGAACUGAAAACAUACAAAAGUUUUGGAACAUUGUGGAAUGUGGAGGCAUCCUAGAAAUAUCCUUUCACAAACAGUGAACAUAUGUGCAUCUCUUGAAGAUAUAAAAUGAUAUAUUAGUCCCUAUUAAAUGAAGUGACAAAUCCGUUUGAUUUAUUUUCGUUAGGAUUUAUAGUUUACAAUGUAAUUCUCAUUAAUUAAUAAUCUCCUGUAUUUUGAUCAGUUUUGUAUAAACUUAUUAUUUGAGGAAACUCCAAUAUUUU